rnacentral:rRNA from 1 species
CCUACGGGUGGCAGCAGUGGGGGAUAUUGCACAAUGGGGGAAACCCUGAUGCAGCGACGCCGCGUGGGUGAAGAAGCGCCUCGGCGCGUAAAGCCCUGUCAGCAGGGAAGAAAAUGACGGUAGCUGAAGAAGAAGCCCCGUCUAACUCCGUGCCAGCAGCCGCGGUAAGACGUAGGGGGCAAGCGUGAUCCGGAUUUACUGGGUGUAAAGGGGGCGCAGACGGCGAUGCAAGCCAGGGGUGAAAGGCCGGGGCCCAACCCCGGGACUGCUCGUGGAACUGCGGGGCUAGAGUGCAGGAGGGGCAGGCGGAAUUCCUGGUGUAGCGGUGAAAUGCGUAGAUAUCAGGAGGAACACCGGUGGCGAAGGCGGCCUGCUGGACUGCAACUGACGUUGAGGCCCGAAAGCGUGGGGAGCAAACAGGAUUAGAUACCCCUGUAGUC